ensembl:lncRNA
AGGUGAGUAACAGAUAUUAACUGAAACAUACUGAGCCCCCAAAAAUUGUCAUCAUAAAGGCAACCUAUUGUGUAAUGAUCCAAGGCUGAGCGAAGAGCAAAAAGCACUGGAAAGAGAAUCUGGAGAAUCUGACAUGAACACCACAAAUAUUGGUUUUCUUCUUUGGUUCAGAUUUUGUCAUUAAUUAUUACGGACAUAUUUUUGAUUAUUUUAUUCACUAUAUGCUAUUAUCACAGAAUUUAGUAUUUUUUUAUAAGCUAACUAGAAAUUUAAAAGAUGUUAAACAAGUGACCAGAAGUGCAGAGUCCAGAGGGUGUCUGGUUAUCAGUGACACCCCUUUGGGAUCAAUGCUAGGACAAAUAGUUAUUGUUCAUCACCUUUACUAAUGAAGUGGAUAAUGUACCAGAGCUCUCAGCAAGUUUGCGGUUGAAAUCAAACUGUGGGAAGCUGUCAGCAUGCUGGAGCCAACGCUGCUGUUCAAGGAGACCUCAUCACAAUGGGCUGACAAAGCUUCGUGACGUUCAGCAAAGGCAAAAGCCAAGUCCUGCCCCGUGACAAAGUCACCCAGUGAAACAGUGCCAGCUGAGAGAUGUGGGCCUUCUGGAAAUCAGCUCUAGAGAGGAACAUUUGGGGGUCCUGGUGGGAAAAAAGUUGGCCAUGAGCCAGCAAUGUGACCCUGUGCCAAAGAACAACUGCCUCCUGGGAUGCAAGAGUUUAGCCAGCAUGCCUAGAUACUCCCUAUUGAACUGCACGCUGCUCAGUCACACAGAAUGGGCUGUUUUUGAUGGUAAAAUGAGCAGGAGAAAGGAACAAAAAAUGUAACCCCCUGGAUUACACAUCAGAGAUCACCUCCUGAGACUGUCUGAUCAAUGGCAAAGAUGAAUGGCAUUCUGCAUUGGAGGAAGUUUUUGUCCAUCGUUAAGCGCUGAAUGAUGCAGCACCUCUUUUCAAUGUGAAAAUUCUGAAAAUAAUUUGCAUUCAGUACAGAGAAGGCCCUCAGAGUGUGGGAGGGAAUCUGGGAGGUUUGCUGGCUGUGUAAUUGUUUGCAUUAGAGUUUUAAAUCUGGCUUUGGCCAGUCCUUUGUUGGGUGACUGAGGCAGCUGACAUAGAUGCAUGAAGUCCUCACAUAGUUGUUCUGUGCUGAUAUGUAAGUAAAUAGCAAUUGUUAAUGAAGAUGGCUCUUUAUUAACAAAUGGAAGAGAGACAAGAGGUUCUAAAUUAUCUAGUCACAGUCUUAUUUUUAAUGCCAACUAAUGAAAUCCAUUAAAAUAACUGUGGAGCUCAUUUAUGCUUUUUCA